GAUGAACGCUAGCGGCAGGCCUAACACAUGCAAGUCGAGGGGCAGCACAGAAACAGCAAUGUUUUGGUGGCGACCGGCGGACGGGUGCGUAACGCGUAUGCAACCUACCUUUAACAGGGGGAUAACGGAGAGAAAUUUCCACUAAUACCCGAUAACAUCGAUCAAGGCAUCUUGAUUGGUUGAAAACUCCGGUGGUUAAAGAUGGGCAUGCGUUGUAUUAGGUAGUUGGUGAGGUAAUGGCUCACCAAGCCCACGAUACAUAGGGGGACUGAGAGGUUAGCCCCCCACACUGGUACUGAGACACGGACCAGACUCCUACGGGAGGCAGCAGUGAGGAAUAUUGGUCAAUGGGGGCAGCGCUGAACCAGCCAUGCCGCGUGCAGGAAGACGGCACUAUGAGUUGUAAACUGCUUUUAAACAGGGAUAAAGCACAGUAUGUAUACUGUGUUGAAGGUACUGUAAGAAUAAGGAUCGGCUAACUCCGUGCCAGCCGCCGCGGUAA
rnacentral:rRNA from 1 species